rnacentral:lncRNA from 1 species
GGAUUCAUGUGGCUCUGUAGUUAGCAGGGAGAUGAAAUUAAAGCCAAACUUCCUUUGGUUUUCCUUUAAACUCAAUUUUCAGAAAGUGUAAGUCAUCCAUCCCUCAUAUUUUUUUGGGCUACUAAAUAUUUAAAGAGCACGUAUAUAUCAUCUGGAUACCUUCUAUUACUUUCUGUGCAAUUCUGAUUUUUUUGAUAUAGUGGCAUAAGACAGACUUCUUCAGUUUCCUUUUAAGAGCUGUUGAAGAGUCAGACUUGCCAGGAUUUUCUGAUCCAAAGCCCUCUGAAGUUGAUUAGUGACAACUUUCUUGUAUCUCAGUGGUCUUGGCUAAGGCCCCAAGGUAGCAAAGGACAGAUCUUUAGAGUGAGCUUGAGAAUGUAGGUUUAUGGUCCUAUUAAGACGAAGCUGCUCUCCUUACAAAGCAGUCUUUAAAAAAAAAUGAGCUGCUUGUGUAGAGAAUGUCCACUCACGUAAGACAUAUUCUGUGUUUGUAAUGAUACAAGGAUUUUGUUGUUUUAUGUCUGUCUGCUUUACAUCCUGAGUUUUCUGAAUCUCUUCAAGUACAUAGUGCAAAGGUAGAGGUGGUAAGGAAGAAGUUUUGAGAAAUAUGGAAGACAAUAAGGAAGUCAGAAGGAAACACUGAUAAUGAGAUGGGCCAUCAGAGCUGUUCCUUUAUUUUCCAACCCACCAACGAAUUGUGAUUUUUACCAUAUGCCAUAAUGCUGAUGAUCUUCUAAACUUGUCAGCAAUGUUUACCAUGUUUCUUCAAAAUUUUUGGUUACUACUGACUUGACAAAACGGAUGCUUUAAAUGUGGGUGAUAUGGUCAGCUGCUAGGUUAAAAUGAUGGACUUUCUGCUUUCUGACAGGAUUAGAAGAAGAGUUCAGGACUUUAAAUGAGUUAGACUAUGGGUGAGGGAGAUGAAGGAGGAAAGGAAAUCUUCUUGAGGAUAACAACAUUUUCCCUCAAGGAUUUACUCUCUUGGUUUAUGUAACAUAAUUUUACCCUAUAUUCUGUUGUCUUUGCGUGGAGUGGCCUAGACUUGGAGUAGAGCAAACAAUAACAGUCACCUGUGGUUCCUCUCUGUAGUUAUAUCACGUUUUAUGUCUUGUUAUAUAUUACCCAAUGCUUUUGACCAAUAAAAACACUUUAGACAGCCCA